CAUUUUAAAUCCCGUUACAGGUGUGUUUGCAGAGAAACAAUACUGCAGACAUGAACGUGUCCUGUGGUUGGUGGGUCAGUGGGGCAUUUGCUCCUUUUGUUGUCCUUUUUAGUAUUUUACUAUUUUUGAGAUGGAGUUUUGCUCUUGUCACCCAGGCUGGAGUGCAGUGGCCUGAUCUUGGCUCACUGCAACCUCCACUUCUUGGGUUCAAGCAAUUCUCCUGCCUCAGCCUCCUGAGUAGCUGGAAUUACAGGCACCCACUAUCAUGCCCGGGUAAUUUUAGAUUUUUGUAGAGAUUGGGUUUCACCAUGUUGGCCAGGCUGGGUCAGGCUUGAACUCCUGACCUUAAGUGAUCCGCCCACCUCGUCCUCCCACAGUGCUGGGAUUGCAGGCGUGAGCCACCGCACCUGGCCCCCUUUUAGUAUUUUAAACCAUUCCCAGGCUGAACUUUAAGAACUAUGAGGAAAAAUAAGAUGUUUAAAGUCACGAACGAACACACACAUCUUAUCCUGAUGGUGAAACAAAUAGUUACAAGCUACUUUAAAAUACCAGGAAGUUCUGGAUUGGCCAGAGGGUGGGAGUCAAGGUUUGUAGCCAGUUGGGUGUCAGGGCCUCUAGGCAUGUACUGAAUCCGUGGCCCUUUCUUCGAAUAAUGUCUUUAUUUUAUUCUAUUUAUUUAUUUAUUUUGAGAUGGAGUUUCGCUCUUGUCACCCAGGCUGGAGUGCAAUGGCGCGAUCUUGGCUCACUGCAGCCUCUGCCUCCUGGGAUCAAGCAAUUCUCCUGCCUCAGCCUCCUGAGUAGCUGGGAUUUCAGGUGUGCACCACCACGCCUGACUAAUUUUUUUUUGUAUUUUUAGUAGAGAUGGAGUUUCACUAUGUUGGCCAGGCUGGUCUUGAACUCCUGGCCUCAAAGGAUCUGGCUGUCUCAGCCUCCCAAAGUGCCACACCACUGCGCCCAGCCUCAAAUAAUGUCUUUAAAUCAGCCCCAAAUCCACGGAGCCACAAGGAAAAUAAUUACAUCGAGCAGCAGUUAACAGAAUAUCCCAAACCCCAAGGUGUGACAGAGUAAGGCCUGUGCAGCUGCAGCGUGGCGCUGAGCAGGAAGGACGCGUGGAGAUGCCGGCUGUGGCGACCGCGUGAUUUGAAGGCACCUGUGACUUCUGCUCCUGAUGGGGCAGAGGCCUCAUGAACACGACUGUGGUCUGUGGCAUGCUCACAUUGGAGGGAGUGCCAGGAAGUUCCCAGGCCCGGGACGGCCGCGCCUUCUGUUGGUCCAUGCAGGGCUCCUGCCUGUCUUUUAUGAGUGUAAUGUCAGCGGUAGCUUAGCUCUGAUUUUAAGCUCAGCUGUACCUCAGCUCUGGUGUAGUUUAGUGGCUUAGCCGUGGCAGGGAGGGGAUGGGGUCGGCCCAGCCCCCUCCCCAGGAGGGCUUUCCUGAUCUCCCCCAUCAGAACAACCCCCUCUCAGCUCCUACCACCUGUUCUGUCUGUCCCAACAUCGACCU
rnacentral:lncRNA from 10 species